UGUUAAGGGAUGGGAAUGAACCCACGACCUUCCGCUUACCGGGCAGAUGCCAUGACCACUAGGCUACCCUGGAC